ACGGGACCCCGCACAAGCGGUGGAUCAUGUUGUUUAAUUCGAUGAUACGCGAAGAACCUUACCAGGUCUUGACAUCCCUUGCAAAGCUAUGGAGACAUAGUGGAGGUUAUCAAGGAGACAGGUGGUGCAUGGUUGUCGUCAGCUCGUGUCGUGAGAUGUUGGGUUAAGUCCCGCAACGAGCGCAACCCUUAUUGCUAGUUACCAUCAUUAAGUUGGGGACUCUAGCGAGACUGCCAGUGAUAAACUGGAGGAAGGUGGGGAUGACGUCAAAUCAUCAUGCCCCUUAUGACCUGGGCUACACACGUGCUACAAUGGCCGGUACAGACGGACGCAAAGCCGCGAGGUGGAGCAAAUCCUAAAAAGCCGGUCUCAGUUCGGAUUGCAGGCUGCAAUUCGCCUGCAUGAAGUCGGAAUCGCUAGUAAUCGCAGGUCAGCAUACUGCGGUGAAUACGUUCCCGGGCCUU
rnacentral:rRNA from 1 species